rnacentral:tRNA from 1 species
UGCCCCAUGGCUGAGUUGGUUACAGCGUCCGACUGUUACUGAUCUUAGCAACUAUCGGAAGGUCGUGAGUUCGAGCCUCACUGGGGCAG